CAAAAGGUAAUCAGUCAGUUUUCUAAAUGAUUGAAGUAAGAUCUACUUCAAUCAUUUAGAAAACUGACUGAUUACCUUUUGAU
rnacentral:sRNA from 1 species